GCCGAUGUAGCUCAGUAGGUUAGAGCACUAGAUUGUGGAUCUAGGGGUCCCCCGUUCGAGCCGGGGCAUCGGUACCA
rnacentral:tRNA from 1 species